UAAUCGCCACAAUAAGUUAUUUUAAAACGGCGGUACAAAUUUUGAUCCUACGAGCUUUUUGACUAUUUUUCAGCAAAUCAGAAUUCCCUCCCCCAAAUUAAAUUCCCUCUCACUUCCCACAAAUUAGACGGACACACACACACUCUCUCCUCCUACUCUCACAAUUUGGCGAAACCCUAGGUUUUAAGCGCCUCACCUCAUCUUACGGUUGGAGAAAACAAAGAUUUGUUGCGGAUUGCAAAUAGGUUAUAUAAAGAUUACUGACUAUUAUAGGAAAGGCAUUGGCAAGCCUAAGGAAGUUUAUUGCUAAUUUAAUUCGCAGAGUACAGAGGUAUUGCCAUAGAUUAAUAGGACUAGGAGCUUUGCAAGAGGACUCAAUUGGUUCAAUGAAAACAAGCUAUUCGUCAUCUGGUGAUGUUAUGAGUUUGGCUAUAAGGACUAAUAUGAAAUUAGACACCAGGGAAAGAUAUUGAUCGAGGCGAAUAUUGGAUUGGAACUCAUAAGCGGCCAGAUGGGAGUUAUGUGAAUGAAGAGGCUAGAGAAAUUGUACUAAAUAGUAGGUUGAUUGCUUGUAUUUUUUAGUUGUGAUAUUUAUCAUAUAAUAAUAGACUAUUUGUAUAAGAUUUAAGUAUUCUUUUAUCUUUCGUUUUGGAGAAAAUUGAAGGAUAGUGUUCGAGGUUAGACUUGGGUGCAGUUUUGACUGUAGUAUUCGAGCAAACUUCUAUACGACUUAGUCUUAGGAGAUAUCCCCGAGUAGUUAGCUGGCUUAUUUCCCACUGCUCCACAGGCAUCGAAUUUAUGAAGUGGCACUCCUUCAUCAAUUGGGUCAAAAAUAUCUACAGACAAGUAACAAUACCGAUUGAGCGUGUAAAAAUUAGUAAUCAUGUUUAGGAUUAACUAUGAAUCUCUUGGAUGUUGUUGUAUUGAAUUACUCUUUGACAUAGAAAUACAUUGGAUAAUGUAAUUUUGGAGUAA